rnacentral:rRNA from 1 species
UACGAAGGGGGCUAGCGUUGCUCGGAAUUACUGGGCGUAAAGCGCACGUAGGCGGCUUUCUAAGUCGGAGGUGAAAUCCUGGAGCUCAACUCCAGAACUGCCUUCGAUACUGGAGAGCUUGAGUCCGGGAGAGGUGAGUGGAACUGCGAGUGUAGAGGUGAAAUUCGUAGAUAUUCGCAAGAACACCAGUGGCGAAGGCGGCGCACUGGCCCGGUACUGACGCUGAGGUGCGAAAGCGUGGGGAGCAAACAGG